AUACGGAGGGUGCGAGCGUUGUUGGGAAUUACUGGGCGUAAAGCGCGUGCAGGUGGUUCGGAAAGUCGGGUGUGAAAUCCCCGGGCUCAACCCGGGAACUGCAUCCGAAACUUCCGAGCUAGAGUCCCGGAGAGGAAGGCAGAAUUCCCAAUGUAGGGGUGAAAUCCGUAGAUAUUGGGAGGAAUACCAGUUGCGAAGGCGGCCUUCUGGACGGUGACUGACACUCAGACGCGAAAGCGUGGGGAGCAAACAGGAUUAGAAACCCCAGUAGUCC
rnacentral:rRNA from 1 species